rnacentral:rRNA from 1 species
AGUGAACGCUGGCGGUAGGCCUAACACAUGCAAGUCGAACGGCAGCACAGUAAGAGCUUGCUCUUACGGGUGGCGAGUGGCGGACGGGUGAGGAAUACAUCGGAAUCUACUUUUUCGUGGGGGAUAGCGUAGGGAAACUUACGCUAAUACCGCAUACGACCUACGGGUGAAAGCAGGGGAUCUUCGGACCUUGCGCGAUUGAAUGAGCCGAUGUCGGAUUAGCUAGUUGGCGGGGUAAAGGCCCACCAAGGCGAUGAUCCGUAGCUGGUCUGAGAGGAUGAUCAGCCACACUGGAACUGAGACACGGUCCAGACUCCUACGGGAGGCAGCAGUGGGGAAUAGUGGACAAUGGGCGCAAGCCUGAUCCAGCCAUACCGCGUGGGUGAAGAAGGCCUUCGGGUUGUAAAGCCCUUUUGUUGGGAAAGAAAAGCAGCAGGUUAAUACCCCGCUGUUCUGACGGUACCCAAAGAAUAAGCACCGGCUAACUUCGUG